CGAACCCGCGGUCCUCGCCCUCACUCUCUUCUCCGGCUGGCCGCCGCGGUCCGCUCGAUGCUCUUCUCCGUGUCGCCGCCGCGCUGCCGCCGCGCUCUCCCCCUCCCCCUCCCCUCCCCACCUUCUAUCGCGUCGCCGCGCUCUCCUCCCCCACCUUCGGUGGCCUCGCCGCGCUCCUCUCCUCCUUCCCGCGGCGACGGAUUGAGUUCAAGCUUGGACCUUUGAGUUCAAGCCGGCGACGGAUUCCGUCGAUGCGAGGCCUUCACCGCCGCCAAGCUCCUGGCGCCGGUGGCCGCGAGCUUCAGGGGAGACCCCAUCCUCUCUCCCUCCCAGAUCCACCAUGCAGCUCGCUCUCGCGCCGGGAUGCCGACGCUAUGGAGGAUGCUGCUCCACCCCUGCUCCGCUCCGUGCCCCCGAUGCUAUGGAGGACGCCGCUCCACCCCUGCUUCAGCCUCAAGACUGGAUAAAAGUUCUGCAUUGCCACUGAACUGAAGCAUUUUCUGGUCGCCGCCUUGCUUGCGGGUUGCGCCGGCAUAGGGAGGCCACGAGGACCACGUUGGCGAGGUCGAUCGGUUGGUCGCCCUGCAUCUCAAGUUCUGAGGCAUCAUCUUCUUGAGGACUCAUGUUGAGAUCAAUCCCAAACAUCAUUGCGGCGGUGGAGCACUUGCUCCGAAAUUAGUGAAACAGAAGAUACAUGAUCCAGAAAUGAGGAGAUAACAAUAUUCCUCCCGUUCAGACUUAUCUACUAUCAGGACAUAAACAGGUGAGUUUCUGGAUUAACAGGUUUAAUUUCAGAGCUAAACAGGUGAGAACAACAAUUAUAAUUAUCUAUUCCAAACUGCAACCAAGCUACUCCUGUAGCCUGAGCAGUAGGGCUAGUGUACUUCUAUUUAGCUUACUUCUAGUAGGACAUCUUUUUUAAGACAGUGGGGUUUAUCUGAGAAGUAUGAAAACAAUUUAGCUUGCAGGGUUCAGACUUGGUAUUAAUUUGGUAUUUGUUUUGUCUUGUGUUGCUUGGAGGUGAUGAAUCAUCGUCACUGUCUGUUUGUGUUGUGGCGUGCUUUAUCUAAACCUACUCUAAAUUCUUUGCUUGGACAUCAGUUUGGCUGGUAAUGUAUAGAGUUUCUACUAGACAAAUUGAUUGACUCCAGAACAUACUCUGCUGCGAUGACCAACAAAUUCAGGGCGCCUAUAACUCUGAACCGUAAGCAGCAGAUGCUCUGCUACACUAGACUCCUCUGCUACAAAUCAUUUCCAACUGCUCUGUUUUUGUAUUCUCAGUUGUUCAGAGUCAAUAUUAGAGUUGGAUAUAAUAUUCUGGCACUUCCAAUUGUCUGUUAGGUGGUCAUUUUGUUUCAGAAAAUAUCUCAUGUACUCCUUUCUUUCUGUGUCAACCAAUCAGUUCAAGUUGUGAGGAAAACAUAUUGUAAACGCUACAGCAUCAUUCUAGUGAGAGUUGAAGAGAAGAAAUCCUGGAACAGAAAGGAAACACCAAAACACUCCAGUUGCAUCAACCAGUUCCAGACCGCACCUCAAAUGCCAAAAGAGUUCAUUGUUCAGACUAAUCAAGAUGAAUAUGAAGACGCAGUGCCCAUCCAUGCAUCUAAAACACAUUCAAAACAUUGUUCAUUGUUCAUACACUUACUAAGGAGUUUAGUUUGAAUUUGUUGCAGUCUGAAACAAUCAUCCAAGGCGAAAUCUGGCCCAUGUAAAACUGCUAUAGCAAACUUUCUCUGAUUAUGAACACUUUCUAGACAGAAACAAAAUUCCAGAGCAGGGAGCAGCAGCAGCAACCUGCAACUUCUUCAGAGAAGAACUCAAAGGUAGGGAAGCAGCAGCAGCUCGAGCUCCACCGGCUGCAGGGGAGAAGCAGAAGCACGAGCUCGACCGGCUGCAGAAGCACGAGCGUCGCCGGGUUUUUUUUCACCGGAGGAGCUACCGUGACGAGCUUCAGCGGCGGCAAGCAGCGACCGGAUUGGGAGGGGACGGCGGCGAUUCAGUUGAUUCGUGGCUUUCCAACAAGUGUGGCUCGAGGCGGGCGUAGCUCUUGGCGCGGCGGAGCUCGGACUGGCUCGGGGAGGCCUGAGGUCGCCCGUCGGCAUCGAGCUCGUGGGGGCAGCGGCGGUCGUGGUGGGAGGAGAUGGCCUCGAUUCCGUUGAUCCACGGCCGGAGGCAGCGGAGGAGCUUCAGGAGAUUUUUGGCAGGGGAUAAGGAUCGGGAUCAGGCCGGCGGCCGGAGCUCCACUGGCCUGUAGCCUCGCCGGCGGCCGAUUCUUCACGCGCGAGCCGCGCAUGCCUGUCGUCGUCUAUUUUUGUACAAUUUGAAAAUGCGCAGGGGGUUUCUUGUAAAUGUUUCGUAGUUCAAAUUUUAGAACCCCCACGACAUCUAAAUCCGAACGGAGGGAGUAUGUGGAAGCCAUGGGUUGCCACUGUGUGGUUUUCAUCCCGGAUUAGAGGCAGGACCAUGGGUCCCAGUUUAGAGGCAACCUUGCCCCUCUAGACACUGUGGAUGGUACCCUGAC